rnacentral:rRNA from 1 species
UACAGAGACUGCAAGCGUUAUUCGGAUUCACUGGGCGUAAAGGGUGCGCAGGCGGUUGUGUGUGUCAGGUGUGAAAGCCCGGGGCUUAACCCCGGAAUUGCGCCUGAAACUACAUGACUAGAGCAUUGGAGAGGGUAGCGGAAUUCACGGUGUAGCAGUGAAAUGCGUAGAUAUCGUGAGGAACACCAGAGGCGAAGGCGGCUACCUGGACAAAUACUGACGCUGAGGCGCGAAAGCGUGGGGAGCAAACAGG